rnacentral:rRNA from 14 species
UCGUAUUCGCGAUCAACUCACUCAAGUGUAAUGCUUCCUAUAAAUAAAUAAAUAAAUAAAUAAAUAAAUAAUAUUUUCUUAGCAAUGUAAAUAUAAAAUUCUAUAAAGUACGUUUCUCUACGCUAAUCCUUCCUCAUUAUGACUCUAGUCAAAGGUAAUUUUUGUUGGUUUUUUCAUAGGGGCACC